AAGUAUAAAUUUUGAUAUAGUGAGACUGCGAACGGCUCAAUAGGCUCAGUUAUAGUUUAUUUGAUAAUGGCGUUUUCGGACGAUUUUUAAUUGGAUAACCGUAGAAAAUCUAGAGCUAAUACAUGCGAAUUUAAAGGGGAACUUUUUUGAGGAACCUCUGUAUUUAUUAGAAUAAAGAAAACCAAACUAGGUAGCAAUAUCUAGUCAAAAACAAAAACGUGAAUGAUAAUAACUUGUGAGAUUGGAAAGCGUUGAUUGUGUAGUAGCAAUAUUGCAUAGUCGACAUCACUUUUCAGUUUCCUUGGCGAAUCGAAUUUAGGUUGAAAAAAACCUUCGAUGAUUGAUUCAAAUUUCUGCUCUAUCAACUUUUUCGCAGUGUAGUGGACUGCGAAGGUUAUGACGGGUUCAGGGAGUAAGGGCUCGACUCUGGAGAGGGCGCCUUAGAGAUGGCGACCACUUCUAAGGAAGGCAGCAGGCACGUAACUUACCCAAUGUUCACAUUGAACGAGGUAGUGACGGUAAAUAUAAAUACAGAUCACCUUAAAUGGAGAUUUGUAAUUUAAAUGAGUACAAUUUAAAAAGCUUAACAAGGAUCAAUUGGAGGGCAAGUCUGGUGCCAGCAGCCGCGGUAAUUCCAGCUCCAAUAGCGUAUAUUAUAGUUGUUGCAGUUAAAAAGUUCGUAGUUGGAUUUUAAGAAUGAUAUGCAUAAAGGGUUUUAGGAUUGAAAAACAAUCUUAAGAUACCUUUAAUCAUUCUCGGCGAUGUAUAUCGUCAUUGAGUAAGUGGUUGUAAGUCGGUGGAGCCUUAAAAACUUUACUCUUACAAAUUUAUUAAAAAAGCCAUCUUACUUCGUUUACUUUGAGGAAAUUCGAGUGUUCAAAGCAGGCAACAUUAGUUUUGCCAUUUUUUGAAGAUCACAGCAUAGUAUAAUAAAAUAGGUUCUGAUAAACAAGAGUUACUAUAUCUUUUUGGUUUUGACUUGUUGGGGAUAUUCAUAUUUGAUUGCUAGAGGUGAAAUUCUUGGAUUUUUCAAAGAUGAACUAAUGCGAAAGCAUUUAUCAAGGAUGUUUUCAUGUGAUCAAGAACGAAAGAAAAGGGAUCAAAGACGAUCAGAUACCGUUGUAAUCUUUCUAUCUGUAAACGAUGCCGACCAAAGAUGGGAAGCCCAAAAAUGGUAUUGUAAAAGAUAUCAUUUGGUUGCUAAAUUAAUUGAUUGAAUAGCAAUAUUCUUUUCAAUUUAAUGCCCUUUCCCGGAUUUUGUGAGAAAUCAUUGAGUUUUCUGGCUCUGGGGGGAGUAUGGUCGCAAGACUGAAACUUAAAGAAAUUGACGGAAUGAUACACAACGACGUGGAACCUGCGGCU
rnacentral:rRNA from 1 species